rnacentral:tRNA from 1 species
AGCCCAGUGGCCUAAUGGAUGAGGCACCAGCCUUCAAACCUAUGUAUUGUGGUUUCAAUUCCCACCUGGGUUG